rnacentral:rRNA from 1 species
GCAUAUCAAUAAGCGGAGGAAAAGAAACCAACAGGGAUUGCCCUAGUAACGGCGAGUGAAGCGGCAACAGCUCAAAUUUGAAAUCUGGCUUCGGCCCGAGUUGUAAUUUGCAGAGGAAGCUUCUGGCGUGGCACCUUCCGAGUCCCCUGGAACGGGGCGCCACAGAGGGUGAGAGCCCCGUAUGGUUGGAUGCCUAGCCUGUGUGAAGCUCCUUCGACGAGUCGAGUAGUUUGGGAAUGCUGCUCAAAAUGGGAGGUAAAUUUCUUCUAAAGCUAAAUACCGGCCAGAGACCGAUAGCGCACAAGUAGAGUGAUCGAAAGAUGAAAAGCACUUUGAAAAGAGGGUUAAACAGCACGUGAAAUUGUUGAAAGGGAAGCGCCUGUGACCAGACUUGCGCCGGGCCGAUCAUCCGGUGUUCUCACCGGUGCACUCGGCCCGGCUCAGGCCAGCAUCGGUUGUUGCGGGGGGAUAAAGGCCCUGGGAACGUAGCUCCUCCGGGAGUGUUAUAGCCCGGGGCGUAAUGCCCCCGCAGGGACCGAGGUUCGCGCACCCGCAAGGAUG